GCCAAUCAGUAGUCAAGGUUUCGCAGUCCAGAAAUGCCUGGAAAGCAGCCCUUUGUUGAGCGAUUGCCACGAUACGGUCACCCUGGAAUGACGAUACGCUAAGUUAUAUACAUGAAAUGCUCUGGACUAAGAAUGACAGCGCGGAGGCAAUUAGGAAAAACUGCGAAAGCAAGACAUUUCUCCCCAGGCGACACCGAACUGCUGCACCGGAAGCUACAGCGGUGCCGUUCCCUGUGCUCAGCUGCGCCUACCACCCACAGGCCCCUGAGCUCUCCCGGGAGUCACGGCCGUGGCCACAGUGAGGCCAAACCAAGUUCAAGACAGGCCAGUUCCCCAACCAACUCUUUGGCACAGGGCUGGGCAAGGGCAGCAGAGCAAGUGGACCACGGAUUCUGGAACUGGGUGCUGUCCUAGAAGUUCCCUGUCUUGAUUCUGUGCCACCCCUGAGUAUACCGAAAAUUUUCUGCUGAAACGUCUUUCAGAUGGACUUGGAAGCAUCCUUUGUUCCCAGGAGAUAUUAGGAUUAUCCUCUUCCCACAUGACCAGAAUUCAAAACAUAUGCAAUUUAAAAAUGUCCAUUACUGCU